GCAGGACAGUCUAGCGGUUCGGGUGUUCGACUCCCAGCCGAAAGAUUCUGGGUUCGAUCCCCAGUGUCUGCA